rnacentral:rRNA from 1 species
AUUGAACGCUGGCGGCAGGCCUAACACAUGCAAGUCGAGCGAGCGGCGGACGGGUGAGUAAUGUCUGGGGAUCUGCCCGAUAGAGGGGGAUAACUACUGGAAACGGUGGCUAAUACCGCAUACUAUCGGAUGAACCCAUAUGGGAUUAGCUAGUAGGUGGGGUAACGGCGCACCUAGGCGACGAUCUCUAGCUGGUGUGAGAGGAUGAUGAGCCAAACUGGAACUGAGAAACGGCACAGACUCCUACGGGAGGAAGCAGUGGGGAAGAUUGCACAAUGGGCGCAAGCCUGAUGCAGCCAGGCCGCGUGUAUGAAGAAGGCCUUAGGGUUGUAAAGUACUUUCAGCGGGGAGGCGUUACCCGCAGAAGAAGCACCGGCUAACUCCGUGCCAGCAGCCGCGGUAAUUC